ACUACCGAUAAACCGAUAACUGCUACCGUAGUCUCUGUUACUACGUAUAUAUGACGUAUUGUUUAUGUACCCGAGCUAGUAAAACUAAAAGGAAAAAUGCCCCAGUACUCCGUCUGUUCUGUAACACUUCAUCGACAAGCGCACCCAUACCCUCCAAAGCCAUGUCGUGUCCAGUUUCGUACAUCUUAGUCCGUGUUAUUUAUUUGGUAUUUACAAAUACCGUGAUACCGUAUAACCAGUGAAUUCCGUAUACAACCGGGGAAUAUCGAAUAGUUGGUAAGUGCGAAAAAUUCAAAUCUGUUACUUAGGUACCUAUAAUAAACCUUUAUUAAUAGUUAUUAUAUGAAUUUGCAUAACAUGUUUGAUUGAAAUAAAUUUUAAAAGAAAUUUAAAUUAGCAUAAUUACUAAUUUAUUACCGAUAAGACGGUAUCUAUAUUGAAAAACCGAAAUAGGCUAAAAACACGGUAUUUACCGAAAAAUACCGACACACCGGUAUCCCGAGAAAACCAGUAUGUAAACACAUACCGAAUGAAUAAAUUCUACAUACCACCAGCUUAUUUUCGCGAUAAUUUCUUCGGAUUUUCCCAGAUUAUUACAAGUUCGCUUCCGCGAAUUUUUACCCUUCCGCUAUAAUAGCUAAGUAAAACUUAAAACGAACUUAUUAUUAAAUUUUCAAGCAUUUCUGUUUAGUCCAACAAUUUUUCCACGGAGUAACUACCAGAUAAAAAUUAUGUAAAAAAAAUCGCAAAUUUAAAAUGUUUAAAAUAGUACAAAAAUGGCUCAAAGUUUUCAAAAUUUUACCACGUUAAGAAAAGGCAAAUAUAAAUUUUGUUUCCGAAUUUCAAGUCUCUAUGAAUAUUUUUAACUGAAUAACAACAAACAAACAUAAUUGAACAUAAUUUUUUUUCGUAAAUUUCCCCAGUUUUUCUCAACUAUUACGAAAACCGCUUAAAAAAUUAAAAUAUGACGUUCUUAAUGUACUGAGUAGAUGAAAUUUCCAUUCACUAAACGUUUACACGUUACAAGCAGUAGAGCGAGAUAUCUGGUAGAAAUGUCGUACACAAUAUAAAAAAAUUAAAAAGUAAACAAAAAUGGUAGAAGCUUCUAACGGCUCUAACUUGUUGAAUACAAUUGUCUUAACACUAAAAAAUUGAUUAAGGCAAUUGUUUUUUUUUUUUUUUUUUUUUUUUUAUUAGAAUACGUACAAUUUUAUUUUUAAAAAGUUAAAACCCUAAUCACCAUGUUUUUAUAACUUAAACAUCUAUAUUUUAUUG